UAGGGAAUCUUCCACGAUGGACGAAAGUCUGAUGGAGCAACGCCGCGUGAGUGAAGAAGGGUUUCGGCUCGUAAAACUCUGUUGUUAAAGAAGAACAUAUCUGAGAGUAACUGUUCAGGUAUUGACGGUAUUUAACCAGAAAGCCACGGCUAACUACGUGCCA
rnacentral:rRNA from 1 species